rnacentral:hammerhead_ribozyme from 1 species
CCACUGCUGAAGAGUCCCAUGAUAGGAUGAAACGGCCGUCUAGUGC